rnacentral:rRNA from 1 species
UACGGGGGGGAGCAAGCGUUGUUCGGAUUUACUGGGCGUAAAGGGCGCGUAGGCGGCCAGCACAAGUCAGUUGUGAAAUCUCCGAGCUUAACUCGGAAAGGUCAACUGAUACUGUGCGGCUAGAGUGCAGAAGGGGGCAACUGGAAUUCUUGGUGUAGCGGUGAAAUGCGUAGAUAUCAAGAGGAACACCUGCGGCGAAGGCGGGUUGCUGGGCUGACACUGACGCUGAAGCGCGAAAGCCAGGGGAGCGAACGGG